CAAUGGCGGGCGCCCCUCCCCCAGCCUCGCUGCCGCCUUGCAGUUUGAUCUCAGACUGCUGUGCUAGCAAUCAGCGAGACUCCGUGGGCGUAGGACCCUCCGAGCCAGGUGCGGGAUAAAAUCUCGUGGUGCGCCAUUUUUUAAGACCGUCGGAAAAGCGCAGUACUCGGGUGGGAGUCACUCGAUUUGCCAGACAACUUUGCACCAUGCGGACAGGUCAAAUGAGACCAGAAGUAUUAUGAACCAAUGCUAAUCAGGACUGUUUCCUGCACUCUGAGACCAAAGGGGCCAUUCUCACAAAGAAAGAGCUCCUGCCACGUUACAUGCCUGCUCUCCAUCUGCCUUCCAACAUGAUUGGAAGCUUUCCGAUGCCCUCACCAGAAGCAAAUGCUGGUGCCGUGCUUUCUGUACUGCCUGCAGAACUGCUUUCGGCAUUUGGCCUCCACAGGAAACUCCAGCUUGACUUAAGGAGUGAGAGAAAGCAGAGGGCAUCACCUGGAAUCCUGCCACUGAUGAACACUCUUUGCUGUUUACUUGCCAAUAAUUGAGAAGUAGAUCCUGAGCCAAGUGCAAAGAGUUUCUUUGGAACAAGAAAACAUGACAAGGAAGUGGAGAAAUGAGAGCGGCAAGGUGGACAAAGGAGAUUUUGGAGACCAAAAAAGUCCUCAGGCAAACAGAUGCAGGUGCUAGCAGUUGGAAGUCAGGCCCAAGAGCUCUGAUGCAUGUGAUAAUAUGGGAAUUAAUAAGCCUGCUAUAUUUGGUAAAUAAGAGAAUUGUCUUAUCAUUUGUGAUUGCUUUCCUUGCAUCCAUUUCCUAUCUCUUUCUUCUUGUACAAGAAUUUCCUAUUACUUUUAGGGACCAAAGGGUGGAUCAGGCAACUUAAGCUGGUCCAAAAAGAGUUAUAUGUUAACUUUUUCUGGAUCUCUGGGAGAAAGUUCCCACUUUAUCCUGAUGAAUGUGGAAAAAGAAGCCUGUAGCCCCAGCAACUGCUGGAGUGAUGUUGACAUUAUAAAAGAAGAUAACCUGAAGAUGAAGCUUAUAAAGGGGAAGAUAGAGUGGAAACACAAAACCAGUUUCUUAAUGACAUUAUUAAUCCCUGGCUCAAGACUUACCUGAAUCAAGCUGAAAAACUUGACUUUAUGAUUAAGUAAAAUAAUUGAUUCCCUUUAGUGUUUAAGCAAGUUGGAGUCUCUUAUGUUUUCACUUACAAUGAAAGAAAUCUAACACAAAAUAUAUUUAAUCUAAAAUAGUGUUCAUUUGAAGAAGCAUUAUCAUUUUACAUACUACUGGGGAAAAAUACUUCCAAUUAAACUAAGAAUCAAUGACUUACAAUCCCUAAGGUUUUGAAAAUUUUAUAUGUUUUGAAAGAUCUCUGUUAGACAUUUUUAGAUGUAGAUUUUUAAAAUAUAAGUUUUGGGGGGUAUUCAUUAGAAGGAGUAUAGGGGUGAGAGUCAAAUAUGCUAGUUACGAGAAUCCUAAAAUGUGUUCCCACUCAGAGUCCAACUCUUCUCAAAUCAUUUCAAUCGUGAGCAUCAUCAGUGCUCAUAUGUUCUUACUACAUCUUCCUUGGCAACAUAACUUUUCUUAAAUUGAAAAACAGGAAACCGAUCUGUUUUCUGUUACUACAGAAAUCUAGAAAUGCUAAAAUUCUAGCAUUUAAUAUAAAUGGAAUAAUAAUACACUAUGUACUCUCGUUUCUUUAUGCACUUUUCUAAGACGUUCCAUGUUGUCACAUGUAGCAGUAAUUCAUUCUUUUUUAUUACUGAGUAGUACUAUAUUGUAUGUUUAUAGUUUUCUAUCUAUUCGUCCAGUUUGGAGCUACUGUGAUUAUACCCACUAUAAGCAUUUGUGUACAACAUUUUCUAUAGACAUGUAUUUUAUUUCUAUUAGGUAAAUAGGGAUGGAACUGAUGUGUCAUAUAGUAAGUAUAUGCUUAACUUCAACAUUACUGCAAAAUUUAUUCCAAAGUGCUUAUAUAUUCCCACUAGUAUGUAUGAGACUUUUAGUUGCCCCAUUUUCUUCCCAACAUGUGAUACUGCCGAUCUUUUAAAAAACAAUUUUGCCUUUCAGGUGAAUGUUUAGUGAUAUCUCAUUAUUUUAAUAUGUGUGUUCCUGAUAAUUAAUAAUGUGUUUAUUAGCUGUUUGUAUGUCUUAUUUUGUGAAGUGUUUGUUCAAAUAUUUUGCCCAUCUUUUUUUAAAUUGGGUGUUUGCCUUUUUAUUAGAGUAACGAAAGUUUUCAUGUUUACUGGAGACUUCUCUCUAUCAGAUAUCUGUACUGUAAUUUUUUUUUCCAAUUAGUGGCUUUUCUUUUG